rnacentral:rRNA from 1 species
GUGCCAGCAGCCGCGGUAAGACAGAGGGUGCAAACGUUGUUCGGAAUCACUGGGCGUAAAGCGCGUGUAGGCUGCUGCGCAAGUCGGAUGUGAAAUCCCACGGCUCAACCAUGGAAGUGCAUUCGAAACUGCGUAGCUAGAGUUUUGGAGAGGAAGGCGGAAUACUCGGUGUAGAGGUGAAAUUCGUAGAUAUCGAGUGGAACACCGGUGGCGAAGGCGGCCUUCUGGACAAUGACUGACGCUGAAACGCGAAAGCGUGGGGAGCAAACAGGAUUAGAUACCCGAGUAGUCC